UACGGGGGGGGCAAGCGUUGUUCGGAAUUACUGGGCGUAAAGGGCUCGUAGGCGGCCAACUAAGUCAGACGUGAAAUCCCUCGGCUUAACCGGGGAACUGCGUCUGAUACUGGUUGGCUUGAAUCCGGGAGAGGGAUGUGGAAUUCCAGGUGUAGCGGUGAAAUGCGUAGAUAUCUGGAGGAACACCGGUGGCGAAGGCGGCAUCCUGGACCGGUAUUGACGCUGAGGAGCGAAAGUGUGGGGAGCGAACAGG
rnacentral:rRNA from 1 species